GUCGUCGUGGCCGAGUGGUUAAGGCGACAGACUAGAAUUCUGUUGGUCUCUGCCCGCACAGGUUCGAAUCCUGUCGGCGACG
rfam:Ciona savignyi cont_62202, whole genome shotgun sequence.